UUUUUCCUCCAUUUUCGAAAAACCAGAAACACUUAAAAAAAGGAAAAUCCAUUCUAUCUCAAAACCUCAAGAAAACACCACACCUUAAAAAACAUGAUUUUCUUCAGUAAUUCUCCCCACCCAGCAUUUUAAAAUAUCCCAUUUUCUUCCUUGAAUUUCUUUCUUGAAAAAAAGAGAGCGCUAUAUAUAUAGAGAGAGAGGGAGAGGGAGAGGGAGAGAAAAGAAUGUCAGUUUUAGCAGCGAAUCCUCACGUUUUAUACAGAGAAGUGCAGUACCACAAUAAAGACCAACAGCAACAGUUAUGGAGUGGUGGUGGUGUUGGUAGCAGUUUAUUGUUAUCGCAAAGAACUUCUUUUGGGUGUUCUUGGUUUGAUGGCAGAAACAAAGACUUGUGUAAAAAGAAUUCAAAGAGAGAUCUUAAAGUAGCAGCGUCUUGGCCAGGUAUGACUAGGCCAACCUCCGUAGAGAUGGAACCCAUCGAUGAUUCUCACCAUCUUGAUAAGAUUCUUCUUCAGGCUCACGAGCUUUCCCAGCCCAUUAUCAUUGACUGGAUGGCUUCUUGGUGCCGGAAAUGCAUUUAUUUGAAGCCAAAGUUGGAGAAAUUGGCUGCGGAAUAUGAUACCAAAAUCAAAUUUUAUUGCGUGGAUGUCAACAAGGUGCCUCAGGCUUUAGUGAAGCGUGGAAAUAUAUCUAAAAUGCCUACCAUUCAGUUAUGGAAAGAGGGAGAGAUGAAAGCAGAGGUGAUCGGAGGGCACAAGGCUUGGCUUGUGAUGGAAGAAGUGAGAGAAAUGAUCCAGAAAUUCGUAUGAUAUCUGUACUGUGCAUAACGUUCUGUUCUUGUCUUCAAUUCCCAUAUUCAGAAAUAUGUACAGUGGAACUCUUGAGUCGCUCCUCUAUGGACUCCAUUUACUCUCUAAAAAGAACCUGGCAAAUAAAGAGCUUUCUGGGACUUGAUAUGAUGCAAGUACGCGACAAAGAAAGGAAACGAAAAGGCAGAGUUUUGAUAAAUGGCAGCAGUCCAAGUUCAAAUGAGAGUAGUAAUAAUUGAUGGAGGGCAGCAGCCAGCCUCGACACCGAGCCAUCUAUUCAGAGUUUCUAUUACAAUUUUAGAUCCUUCCAAAAUCAAAAGAAGUUCUUCCCGUGAAAUUCCACAGCAAAAAAUAGUCGAACACUACUGAUACAUGAUGGAAAUCUUCCUUCUUUGUCCAAGUAAAACUAAACAUUAUUUCAACUUGACAACGUCAAUAUCAAAGCCAUUUUGGAAGGAC